UUAAACUAGUUGAUUUAUUGAUUAAGCUCAAGGAGUUAAAGAAGGAGAAUCAAGCAAGGGAAAGACGAAGGUCAUCGAGUAGCCGACUUGGACUGUUUUACCCAACACAAGGUCUCUCGGACUCGUAUUGUUUGCGUGAUCGGGACCGUCGUUGAAGUCAUCACACCGGCUGAAAUCUUGUGGUAUUGUUUUCGUUGUUGAAGAACAUUUGGCAUGUAUAGGCUAUUAUAUUUUGUCGAAUUGUGGGUUGUAAACUUUAAGCCAUGUGAAAAUGGCCUAUGUGGUCGUCGAGUGGGAUGCUAGAACCUAUAGCCACGAGUCUUAGAAACUCUAAUUUUGAUAUGGUGCCCAUAAUUUGUGUCAUGUAUGAUGGAUGAUUAAGGCCAAGGAAAGAUUCAUGAAA